GCCAGCGUUGCAUAGUGCUUUGUGCAUUGGACUAUGACUCUGGAGACCAGGGUUCGAUUCCCUGCUCAGCCA